GAUGAAGAACGUAGCGAAAUGCGAUAAGUAAUGUGAAUUGCAGAAUUCAGUGAAUCAUCGAAUCUUUGAACGCACAUUGCGCCCUUUGGUAUUCCGAAGGGCAUGCCUGUUCGAGCGUCAUUAUCACCCCUCAAGCCCCCGGCUUGGUGUUGGACGGCUUGGUGGAGACCCUUUUGUGGCCCACCCCUCCCAAAGACAAUGACGGCGGCCUCGUUGGACCCCCGGUACACUGAGUUCUUCACGGGACACGUAUCGGACACACGGGUUUACGGGUCACGGUCUGCCUCCCCUCAGGGAGAACUUUUCUAAGGUUGACCUCGGAUCAGGUAGGGAUACCCGCUGAACUUAAGCAUAUCAAUAAGCGGAGGA
rnacentral:misc_RNA from 1 species